rnacentral:RNase_P_RNA from 1 species
GAGUGGUCGCUUUCAAAUGAAAGAGGAAAGUCCGGGCUCCAUAGAGCAAAGAUGCCAGAUAACAUCUGGACCUCGUGAGAGGCUGACAAGUGCAACAGAAAAAAUACCGCGAAUUUCGUAAGGGUGAAAAGGCAGUGUAAGAGACUACCGGAUAUAUAGUAAUAUAUAUUGCAAUGUAAACUCCAUCUGGAGCAAGAAGAAAAUGUCCAAAGUGUUGCUCGCACAGGACAAGGUAUUCGCUAAAGAAUUAUAGUGAUAUAAUUUUUAGAUAGAUGACCACAUAAACAUAACCCGGCUUAUAGCAGU